rnacentral:rRNA from 1 species
AUGGCGAUCGCGCUCAGAUUCGCCGCCACCCCGCCCCGCCUCGCCGCGCCGAUACCUCCGACGAGUGCCCCUCACGCCCAUGGAGGUGUUGCGCGCGCCGGCGCCCUGGGCGGGACUCGCCGUGGCAGGAGACUGGCAAUGGCGGCCGCGGAUUCCGCUCGCUGUCGGGCCAAGAGAGAGGGCGACGGCGACGGCGUCAUCGCGGGAGUCGCCGUCCACGGAGGAACCGGAGCGGAAGGGGAAGAUCAGCUGAGCGUGGUGAUGAAGUUCGGUGGUUCGUCCGUGUCGUCGGCGGCGAGGAUGAAGGAGGUGGCGGGGCUCAUCCAAGCUUUCCCCGAGGAGCGCCCCGUCGUCGUCCUCUCCGCCAUGGGGAAGACCACCAAUCUACUCCUCCUCGCUGGAGAGAAGGCAGUGGGAUGUGGAGUGACCCGCGUUUCCGAAAUAGAAGAGUGGAACAUGCUCAGAGAUCUCCAUAUCAAGACAGUUGAUGAACUUGGACUGCCAAGAUCUGUUAUACAUGCUAAGCUAGAUGAACUGGAGCAGCUCUUGAAAGGUGUUGCCAUGAUGAAAGAGCUGACACUUCGCAGCACUGACUACCUUGUGUCAUUUGGAGAAUGCAUGUCCACACGGGUUUUUGCGGCUUAUCUAAACCAGAUUGGCGUCAAAGCACGUCAGUGUGACGCGUUUGAUAUUGGUUUCAUAACGACAGACGAUUUUGGUAAUGCUGAGAUAUUGGAAGCAACUUAUCCUGCUGUUGCAAAGAGAUUACAUGGGGACUGGAUUCGGGAUCCAGCAAUACCUAUUGUUACUGGGUUCCUUGGGAAGGGCUGGAAAUCAGGUGCCGUUACUACUUUAGGCAGAGGUGGCAGUGACUUGACUGCUACAACCAUUGGUAAAGCCUUGGGAUUGAGAGAAAUUCAGGUGUGGAAGGAUGUUGAUGGUGUACUUACUUGUGAUCCAAAUAUCUACCCAAAUGCAAGGACUGUCCCGUACUUAACAUUUGAUGAGGCUGCUGAACUUGCUUAUUUUGGUGCCCAGGUUUUACAUCCACAAUCGAUGCGACCUGCUAGAGAAGGUGAUAUACCAGUUAGGGUUAAGAAUUCAUACAACCCUAAAGCUCCAGGCACCCUUAUUGCCAAAGGAAGAGAUAUGGAUAAGGUCGUGCUUACAAGUAUAGUUCUGAAGUCAAAUGUCACUAUGCUGGAUAUAGUGAGCACUCGGAUGCUUGGUCAAUUUGGUUUCCUGGCAAAGGUGUUUUCUAUAUUCGAAGACCUAGGCAUAUCUGUAGAUUGUGUGGCGACUAGUGAGGUCAGCAUUUCUGUGUCGCUCGACCCAUCAAAGAUCUGGAGCAGGGAACUUAUUCAACAGGAGCUUGACCAUGUGGUGGAAGAGCUGGAGAAAAUCGCAUUCGUCCAUCUUCUCCAGCAGAGAGCGAUAGUCUCGCUCAUCGGGAACGUGCGGAAAUCAUCGCUCAUACUAGAGAAGGCCUUCCACGUGUUGAGGAGAAUCGGGGUCAAUGUCCAGAUGAUCUCGCAAGGCGCAUCAAAGGUGAACAUGUCGCUGAUCGUCCACGACAGCGAGGCGAAGCUGUGCGUGGAGGCCCUCCACCAGGCCUUCUUCGAGGGCGAUGGCGAUGGCGAUGGCGAUGAUCGCCUGACGGCAGAAUUCGAUGAGGAGAACCUGCGGCUUGAGCUGUGA